CACACCUAAGGAGAAAAACAUAAAUAAAUAGUUAUAAAACAGUUCCAGACACAUAUUAUUAAAAUGACUCCACCAUAAAUGUGCUUAACAGAUGAACUUCACUUACAGUAAGUCUGGCUCUGACACAAGGCAGUGGUGAAGUAACAAAACAAAUCUUUUUAUCAGUAGCUGUGUUUUGGGUAUUGCCUUAAAUACCAAUGUGCUAAUGGCGGGCAAACAUCAAACUAUUCUCAUACCUAGGGAGGGGUGUUCUGGACAACUAGCGAUUAGUUACACAUGCUGUUCAUUAACAACCAGCCACGCAGCAAGUGCUCAGAUUUGCUUCUAUUUGUUACUGUAUGAAGACUCCCGUUAAUGCUAAGGCAUUUACAUUCCUCAGUGAGAGGUACUACUGCUGCUAACAGCACUGAACCAUGUACCUAAGCAGAUACACACAUGAAUAUUGUUCCGCUACUGACCUUGUCCACAACUAACUUGUGUGCUGUUUCCAAGUGUCUUUGACCACAGAAAUACACAGAAGGAUGUCUAAUGAGAAAAGAUUCAUGAACACCUUUACAAAACAUUGUUUGGAGAGGCUUCCACUGUAUACUGAAGCAGUGGGCAGACCAGGGUAAUGUAGCUAACAGAAAAAUCUCUAUUCUAACAGAUGCCGUCAGAAUGAAGACAUUUUGUUCUAACUCAACUUGUUUUGAUGGACACAUGCAACAUAUAAGAGCAUGCUGGGUAAAGAGAUGGAAAAAAAGUCUCUGGACAGCUGCUGGUAUCACUGUAACAGAAGAACUCUCUAAAAUGUGGAAACCAGUCUCAGGUUCUUCUCUAUUUGAAUUCCGGUUUUAUGGUUUCUACAGCCCUCCCUGACUGAUAGCUAUCCUCCAAAAUGUAGUGAUUAACCUUAUCUUUGUCACUCUGACUCCAUCAUAUUAUUCAUCUCAGAUGACAAAGUCAUGCAAGACUCACAGUGCAAUUUUGACAGCUGGAACAUCUUCCACAUGUGCUUGGGCCUUGCUCCACAUUCCCACUACCAUCCAGACUGCAACCAUGCCAUCACCUCACCCUUACGCACACUGUACAGAAGAAAUGCUGUCCAUAAAGUGAAACCCCUGCCCUGAUUCCACAACAAACAAACAAAUUUGAGUUAGAUCGGGUUGCAGUGAGAGGUAUAUUGCAAGAACACAGAAAAUAUCUGACCUCCUAUAAUGUCCUAGGGAAAAAAAAUCCUUGUCAAAAAAUGUCUGAACUGCCAAGCAAGUUUAUAGUAGAUUUGCUCUUGCACAUGGAAGAAGCAUUUCUGAUCUGCUGUCACAAGCACUGAAGACAGAUCUAGUGUAUCAUCUCACAGGUGUCCUAAGGAUCUGAGAAGGCAAUGCUGCCUGCAUUCAGAAGAAUUGUACUUACCUCUUCAAUUCAGCAAUGAGCAAAGCUGUGCAGGGAACACCCAGAGUCAUUAGCGAGAUGUUGUUAAUGGCAGGCUUAAUGAAGGCCAGGCAGGUGG